ensembl:lncRNA
AAUUACUACGUGUUAUGCGUUGGAAUCUGUACAGCACACAAUUGUGACAUCUUGUGGUUGUAAGGAUGAACGGAAAAACUCCCUCAUUUAUCAGUUUAUCAUUUUGAAUUAAGAGUUUUGGAGAUUAGGACAAGAUUUUCUUCGCUUGCAUGUUUCUUUGCAAGUAAAUGUUUCGUUUCAGAUUUGACAAAUGUCCCUAUAACAAAACUAACAACAGAAAAAGCGCAGUUUGACUCAGACAUCAGAUUCAACGACUAAACCUACUGGCUGUCAAAGCAGCAGGACUUUGCAACAGAGUACUGUCACUCUGUCACACUCUGCAAGGCAGAGUCAAGGACAGCAGGUGGUGCCAAAGACCAAACAGACUGCCUCUGGGGAAAAUCCCUGUCUUAGCAGUCAUGUCAACUGAUAUCCAUCACUGUUAAACACAUGUACUUUCUUAUUUCUUACAUAUGUAUUGAAAAUAUAUAUAGUUUUACUCAAUAUGAAUAUAUGUAUUUAACAUUACUUUAUAUUGGCACUGUGCUUGUGUCUCUCUGUAUGAAAUAAUUUGCAAGCAGAAAUAUCAUUGGUUGGAGUAUUUAUACACGUUGGCUCCACAUGUUGGUCAGUGUGUAAGAGCAAAAACAAAUGCCAAAAUGAGACCUGGUACCCUUAUUGUAGGUUAAACUAAUGUGCUUCUGUCUACGUGGGGUUGCUUGUAAGGAACCUAUUUCUCCCAGUGUUCUCAAGUAGGUGCCCUACAGCUACUAAGCAUCCUGAACUAAGAUUUCAUACCUCUAGCAAAUUAGUGAAGACUUCUGUGAAAUGGCCAUUUGAAGCCCCGCAACAGUAUAACUGCACUUGGCAGACAUGCACUUCAGUGAUGCCAUAAAAAUUCCCCAGAAUCCAAUUGGACUCCAAAUGUGAUUAUUGUGUCUGAUAUCGUGUUUUUCUAGUAGUCUACUAAUUUUUAACUAUUCCUUCUGUAACUUGCAGACUCACGGAAUGUAUCAGACCAAAGACCUUUCCUGCACAUUAUAGACUGCCUUCCGUAAUAUAGCAGAACUGUUAGGUGGGCAAAAUUAACAUUCGAUGGCCUUGUCGGAUCUAUUACGUGGACAGAAUUACUUUUGCCCACAAUAAAUUAGUUAAUUUUGUCCUCAAACUAAGAUGUCCAUUCAGCCUUUUUUCCACGACAGAAUGUGCUCUCCUCAAUGUUCCGUGGACACAAUGCUAACGCAUUUGUGCUUUUCGUGGACAAAUGGCAUUACGGUGUGGGUGACCAGACGUCCUCUUUUACCCGUACAUGUGUCAUAUGUGGGUGUUGAGUGACUGUAAGUGUGUUAUGAUGUUGCUUUGUUUUGUUGGGCACCGCCCCCUUGACUGGUGCGCCUCACGAACAUCUGAUGGCAUGGUACAGGUGCUGAUAAUUAUGUCUCUGCUUGAGAUCCUUUUAAAAAUGAGCACUGUCUGUGCAUGCUGGACAUCACGCAAGGAUGGCUAUAGUGUGAUAUAGAGCAUUUGUUAGUUUUUUGGCGUUUGCGGGUUACCCGGACGUCUGUUGUUCGAGAUCCGAAGUUGGCUGUUUCCCUACUGCGUUGGAGUGGAGGCUGUGUGGGAUCCGCCGCUUCUGCGUUCGUGGGUUGCCAGGAAAAAUCUGAUCUGAGUUGUCCGUUGACUGAGAGAAGCGUCAUUGAACACUGACUGGGAACUAGAUUCGUCUGCUCCCGGUUCAAUAGUGUGUGCCUUUGUCUGCUAAUAAACUGAGUGAGUUACGUUUUAGCACUAUACAACGUAGAGCCGUUAUUGGCUAUUGUCUUUGGGUUGAUUUACUUUUGGUUGACAUUAUUACUUUUUAGUGUGUCGGUUAUUUACUUUCUGUUUGCUGUGAGUGUGCAUUGCCACUUGUGGAGAUUCUGGCGAUUCUCUCUCUCUCUGUGUGCGUGCUUUGCAGACCAAAAAAAGCAGCUACGGUGCGGUGGUGGAUGCUGACGGACUUUGCUUGCGGACUUUUGGAUACUGCGGACUCUUGGACAUUGUGGACUGUGCUUCCUUCGGCAGCCUGAUUCACAUGGACUUAGAUAACUUUGGGUGUAUUUUAUAUUUUAGAGCAAGCUUGUAAUAAAUACUAUAUUUUUGUAUCAGAAACUGAAGUCUUGAUGAAUCUGGUGUUGCUCCCACUAAACAAAUAACCUAAACAGUGAAAAGUAAACUAGUCCCAUCUCUGUAAACUGGGUGGCGUAGUCGGUCUACACUGCCGCACUCCCGUUACACAUGCCCUCUUUUCGAGACCUAAAAAAUGCAUCCGGCAGAGAUUCCAAACUCGUCCGGGAUUUUGCCUCGUCGGAUAUUUGUGUUUCUCUGGGUCUUUCACAAACUAGUUAUUACGCCCUUACAAGUUUUGGAAAGGGUAUCUCCCUCACGUUCCACCUUCUUGCGCGAGCUCUGACUAGACUAGAGAACUGUCAUUGGUCGACUGCUUUCUCAGUGUUGCCUGAUGUACGAUACUUAUCCUCCAAAUACGAUAAUCUUGAGCCUUUGGUUUGAUACUUUGCCAUUCCCAAUCUGGCAACACUGAGCACCUUGCCGCCUCGCUAGUUGCAUUGUUUAGAACAGCACAUGACAUGGAUGUGAACAAUGUCACAACUUCCAGGGGGCGGGGUCAUCUGCAUGUGAAAAAUGUUAAAACUGCUACACACUACUCUGCCCCCUCCCCCGCUACGAAGUGUCCUCUUUUUCACAAACUCAAAUCUGUCCACCCUAGAUAAAUGCAUUUGUUUAUUGUUGAUAAAGGCAUUUGGUACAUCACAUAAUGCGUUCUGUCUAUUAAAUAAAGUCUGUUACACAUGGCGUCUCACUCUAAAUUUCGUUGUAUGCAAAUACAAUGACAAUAAAGGCUUUUCUAUUUCUAUGUGCACCUCGCUAGCACACCUGCCUCCAAUGUCCAAGGUUGCGAGUGUGAGUCCGGUGCAGGACUGAGCUGUCACGCAACACAGGUUCCGCAACCUCUCUAGUUGAGGCUCAGCGCUGCUCCUCCAACCAAUACAUGUUUGCCAACACAGUUUGAACCAUUAGGGAUUAUACAUGUUCAGCCUGAUGAUUUACUGUUUAUAAAAUUUGAAAUAGUAUUACCUCAGGAAUUUAUGUCACUCGAUUUCUCCCAUUGCUAAGAAGGCCGUUUCCUGGUGAGAAGGCGCAGGAGCAAUGGCUAAUAAUACAGUGUAAUCUUGUCAAAGGUGCUUAUGUUCCAGAGACCUGUGACUGUAUAUGGAUUAUAUUGUUGAAACCAUAUUUACCAGGUUGUUAUCAGUGUCAUGGUAUGUUGCUUUUUUCUCUAUCCAUAUUGAUAGAAUUAAUUUCAAAACAUGACUUAAGUGCCUUGUAUUAACAAUUACCUUGUAUGAAUCAUGUGCUUAUUUCUGUAUUUCUGUGUGUGUGUGUAACCUAGAUUAUUAGGUGCUGACACCACUUAGUCUGCAUAUGUUUGGGUGAGCUCAGAGGUGAUAAGAAGGGUCGAAUUGUGCUUGUUCGACCGUGUGUAAAACUGACAUUCUUGCAUUAGAGAAAGCGGAGUUGGGAUGACACAAAAGGACUUUUAGUCGAGCGUGGCUAUUCUUGCUGACAUUUGAAACAUUUAUGACGUCAGUUAGAUAAAUCUUAAAUAUAUAAAUCCUGUGCGAUGUUUGUGAAAUGGCUUCACUUUCAUCUUUGUGCUGUGAGUGAGCCCGACAGUUGUUGCUGAAUAAAUAUACUGAUCUACAACUCUGGAGUCCUGAGAUAACUUGAGUGAAUUUUGACCUAACAUAAAUGCAAGGGAAUUAUGCUUUUGUACUGGACUUGACGAUACAGAUAGAUUAUGCUAAAAUGUGACUCUGUUCAGGUGUGUAUGAUGAAGAACAUGGCCCAACGUUACGGAUUGUAUUGAAUUUUAAACAGCCAGAGGAAGGAGUGGUCUUAAUUUUAGUCUCGCUAGGGGCACUAGUGAAGGUAUUCUUGACAAAUGUUUGUGUUUCGUACCUGGGAUAUUUCUAUUAAUUUCCUUAGGGCAUUGUGGUUUGCCAUAUUUACAUUAGAUUACUAACACCUAUUGAGAGGCAUGCCAGGCAUACUGUGGUGGCUUUUUGUAUUAUGUUUCAUCUGCUUGUACAAAGGUUGAUUGGCAGGUCCACAAUGGGUGCUUUGGCGCGCAAGUCACUGAGAAGCUCCAUCUUUCUGUUGGAAGAUUCUCAAGAGGAAGAGUAUGCAAACCUCAGCCACAUUCAUGUGGGUCACACUGUUUGUUUGAGCUUUGAGAUGAACAAUAGAGGCAAAGAAUGCAGGCAAAACAUGACACGCUGUCCUAAAUUACAGCAGGUAUAAUAAGUAUUGAACACGUCACCAUUUUUCUCAGUAAAUAUAUUUCAUGACAUUGACAUGACAUUUUCACCAGAUGUAUGUUACAACCCAGGUAAUCCAUACAUACAAAUAAACCAAAACAAAUACGUUCAGAAAUUAAGUUAUGUGAAAUGACACAGGGAAAAAGUAUUGAACACGCUUACUGAUAUUUAUUUAAUACUUUGUACAAAAGCGUUUGUUGGUAAUGACAGCUUCAAGACGCCUCCUGUAUGGAGAAACUAGUGGUAUGCUUUGCUCAGGUGUGAUUUUGACCCAUUCUUCCACACAAACAGUUUUCAAAUCUUGAAGGUUCCGUGGGCCUCUUCUAUGAACUCUGAUCUUCAGUUCUUUCCAUAGAUUUUCAAUUGUAUCCAAAAGUCAGGUGAUUGGCUGGGCCAUUCUAGCACCUUUAUUUUCUUUCUCUGAAACCAAUUGAGAGUUCCCUUGGCUGUUCAUUGUCUUGCUGAAAUGUCCACCCUGGUUUCAUCUUCAUCAUCCUGGUAGAUGGCAGCAGAUUUUUAUGAAGGAUGUCUCGGUAAAUUUUAGCAUUCAUCCUUCCUUCAAUUAUGUGAAGUUUGCCAGUACCGUAUGCUGAAAAGCAGCCCCACACCAUGAUGUUCCCACCUCCAAACUUCACUGUUGGGGUGAUGUGCAGUGCCAUUUGUCCUCCAAACAUGGUGUGCAUUAUGGCAUCCAAAGAGUUCAAUUUUGCUCUCAUCUGACCAGACUAUAUUCUCCCAGUAUUUCACAGACUUGUCCAAAUGUUGUGCUGCAAACUUUAAACAAGCUUCAACAUGCUUUUUCUUCAGCAAUGGAGUCUUAUGUGGUGAGCAUGCAUACAGGCCAUGGCGGUUGAGUGCAUUACUUAUUGUUCUCUUUGUAACAACUGUACCUGCAAAUUCUAGGUCUUUCUGAAGCUCUCCACAAGUGGUCCUUGGCUUUUGGAAAACUAUUCUGAUAAUUCUUUUCACUCCUCUGUCAGAAAUCUUGCGAGGAGCACCUGGUCGUGGCCAGUUUAUGGUGAAAUGUUCUUUCCACUUCUGGAUUAUGGCCCCAGGAGUGCUCACUGGAACAUUCAGAAGUUUACAAAUGCGUCUGUAACCAAUGCCAUCAGUAUGUUUUGCUCAGCGGUGAUAAGGAGGGUCGAAUUGUGCUUGUUCGACCCUUUGUAAAACUGACAUCCUUAGAUUACAGAAAGUGGAGUUGGGAUGACAUAAAAGGACUUUUAGUCAAGUGUGGCUAUUCUUGCUGACAUUUGAAACAUAUAUGACGUCAGAGUUAGAUAAAUCUUAAAUAUAUAAAUCCUGUGCGAUGUUUGUGAAAUGGCUUCACUUUCAUCUUUGUGCUGUGAGUGAGCCCGAGAAUUGUUGCUGAAUAAAUAUACUGAUCUACAACUCUGGAGUCCUGAUAUAACUUGAGUGAAUUUUGACCUACCAUAAAUGCUAGGGAAUUAUGCUUUUGGACUGGACUUUGUGAUACAGAUAGAUUAUGCUAAAAUUUGACUCUUUUCAGGUGUGUAUGAUGAAGAACAUGGCCCAACAUUUAGGAUUUAAUUGAUUUUUAAACAGCCAGAGGAAGGAGUGGUCUUAAUUUUAGUCUCGCUAGGGGCACUAGUGAAGGUAUUCUUGACAAAUGUUUGCCGAUCUAUACAUAUGCCAUCGGUUCGAGGGCCAAGAGCCAAACCACCUUAAAGUUCAAGUAAAGUUCUUACAGGACUGCAGCCCUCAACACUUAACAGUUUAACCCAGCAGUAUCAACUAUAAGUAUAAACCCUCUCCAACCACCGACCCCCCCCCCAGAUUUCCCGAUACUUAGUCUUGAACAUACUCUCUUGCUGUGCUAUCAAUCUGCUAAAUUGUGUUUCGUACCUGGGAUAUUUCUAUUCAUUUCCUCAGGGCUAUGUGGUUUGCCAUGUUAGCAUUAGAUUACGAACACCUACUGAGAUGCAUGCCAGGCAUACUGUGUAUUAUGUUUCAUCUGCUUGUACGAAGGUUAAUUGUCAGGUCCACAAAGGGUGCUUUGGCGCACAAGUCACUGUGGGAAGAUUCUCAAGAGCAAGAGUAUGCAAAUCUCAGGCACAUUCAUGUGGGUCACACUGUUUGUUUGAACUUUGAGAUGAACAAUAGAGGCAAAGAAUGCAGGCAAAACAUGACACACUGUCUUAUCAAUCCAUCGAUCAAUCAAACUUUAUUUGUACGGCGCAUUUCAUACCAGGAGGUUACACAAUGCGCCUCACAGAAAGAAAAAUGGGGGGGGGGUUACGAACGCUUGUAGAGAGACAGAUUUCCCUGAGACAAGUAAACAGAUAAAUGUUACAGUGAGUGAUAAGCAAGAUCAAAGAGGUAUGUCUUAAGUGCAUGUUUAAAGGUCCUAUGUAUAAUGAGAGAUUCAAUAAAAGGUUAAUGUGAAUAUACACACAUUGGACACUGACAAAUGGGUUGGAAGCAACAACCUGUCCCUAAUGUUGACCUUGACAAGAAAGAUGUGAUUUUCCUUCAGUUGGGUUCACCAAAAAGGGUUCAACAUCCUUAAUACACAUAUAAACACCAUAAGAUACAUACAAACAUCAUUAUACACAUACAAACACCAUUAUACACAUACAAACACCAUUUAACACAUAUAAACACCAUUAGACACAUAUACACUCCUUUAUACACAUAUAAACACCAUUUUGCACAUAUUUGAAGCUGCGUUUUGUAAUGUAUACACUUAAGUUGGAUAAUGAAAGAAAAGCCAUACAAGGACAAACCUGGGAAAUGAAAAACUAAUAUUUUCAGUUCUGUAUCUCAUUGCCACACACACCCAUGCACAUUUUUGCCACAAGAAAGCACAGAGGUGCAGCAAUGACGAAGGUGUUGAAAGCCAUGAUCUGCUGUGCACAGUGACAUGACAAGGAUUUACCUGGAAAAACAGUGCACUUCUCUGUCACACCGUACGUCACACAAGGCUCUGAAACAAGCUAGGAGCGGAUGUUUAAUGACGAUAAAUAAAACAUCAUUAUGCACAUAUUUGAAGCUGCUUUUUGUAAUUUAUACACUUACGUUGGAUAAUGUAAGAAAAGCAGUCAGCCAAGACAAACCUGGGAAAUAAAAAAAAAAAUUCAGUUCUGCAUCUCAUUAUUUCAUGAAUUAUGUAACAAUAUUGGCGCCAACCAGCCACACACACACACACCCACGUUGAAAGCCAUGAUCUGCUGUGCACAGUGACAUGACAAGGAAUUACCCCUUGAAAAACAGUGCACUUCUCCGUCACCCAUCACACAUGAGAACAUAGUGUAACUUAUUUUUUGUAAUCAGAAAACAGAGAGGAUCAAACUAGGAUCUACUACUAAACACUACUUUUAACAACUAACUCGAACCCUAAUUAAAAAAAAAAAAUGCAUAAAUGAAUUGGCUACAACUAUAGACAUUGUUGUAGCCAGUCAAAUGUGACUGGGUCUUUGUAAUAUGGGGUAAGACUUCCAGUUACAAAUGCACCAUGUUUAGCGUUACGGAUUCCCCCUUUUUACCCCCAUUUACUUUCCUUUUAUCUGUCUCCUCCCUUAACGUAACGUCUAUGUCUCUUGCUUCAGAUGACCUAAUGGCUGUAUGUUCAGAUGUAUGGAUGCUCCUGUGACUCUGGCAGAGCUAAACUGAGCGAGCUAGGUGCUAACAAAACCAAGAUCAUGGGUUUAAUACCCAGGGAACACGUAUACUGAUGAAAAUGUAUACCUGUACUGUACAGUGAGUGUAGUGCGCACUGUGGAUGAAAGCAUCUGCUAAAUGGUUAUAUGGACAUGCACACCACUGUGAAGUAAACCCCACUUCAUCUGGAUAUGGGGACCCAGUGACAGGUGUGUGUGUGUGCAUUUGCUGGUUUGUUCACCACAUCUCUCUGAUAAGAGACGGAGCUAAAAGGGCUGGAAGGGAAUCAGAGCAAAGCCUUAGAACUGUUCUCUCCAUUUUCCAUCAGGCCACCCAUUCCUCUCUAUUCGAGUAGGCCAUUCUUCCCUAUUCGAGUAGGCCAUUCUUCCCUAUUCGGGUAGGCUAUUCUUCCCUAUUCCUAGCGCAGUUUAAAAAGGUGAGUUAUUCAGGAUUAAUUGCUUACAAUGUUUCAUUAUGCCUAUACACCCACAGGCAUAUAUUAAAGGAACACUAGGCAACAAUUUGACACUUUUUGAGGUAUGGUUUUAUAGGCAACUAGUUUUGGUAUAAUACAGUAUGUUUGCAAUGAGUUUGUAUUACAAUGAUGCGUGCAAUGUUGCAUGUUGUGUUUGAGACGGUUAAAGCAAGUGAGUAAAUUCAAAUGUUAACAUGGUACAUUUUAAUUGCCUCUUAAAAUUGGAAACUGGAAUGAUGCACAAACUCUGCUUUGGUCUGGCUGGUUAUUUUCUGUCUUCACUAAUUCAUGCUAACUGAUGCCUUUUUUCAUUCAGAUGGCAGACUUUCGUAAACUGGAAAACAUCCUCUCCCACCUACUCUUUCUAGGUCAGAGGCUUUCCUAUGUGGUUACGGAUAUUUUCCCUUUUACACAGACCUACGUUUUGUGCUACACGCCUUUUAACACUGUCUUUGAGUAUCUCUCAGCAUUCAUUCAACAAAGGUCAAAUGUUACACAAUGAGCCAGAGAGCACCCCACUCUCCCAGACAGACAGUGGGCAGGGUUCCCCUGCUGGUAAUCCGUCAGACCCUCGGACACUUCCAGAAGGGGGAACUCCUCCAGUAACGAAAUCUCUUCACAUGGACCUGAAGACUGCCUAAAAAGAGGAACCUGCCCGAGCAACCUUAGCCCCCUCCUGUGCACGUCCCUGCGUGCGUGUGUGUGUCUGUGUGUGUGUCUGUGUGUGUGUGUGUGCGUGUGUAUGUGUGCGUGCGUGUGUGUUUGAACAAGCCUGGAUUCAAAUCAAUCUAUAUUUAUACUUUUUUGUCAAAUGUUUUGAAAGUUGCUAUGGACAAAAGGGGUUGCCAAGUGCUUUAAACUUAUGAAGUCUUCAUAUUACUUAAAGCAGACCGCUGAGGGUUUGCAUCAUUAAUAGCCCAGUGAAGUAUCAGUCAUGGGGAAAGAAGCAAUACGGAAAAUACCACUGUUUUUUGUUGAUACUGUUGUUGUACAAGUUGUGAAAUAUACAUUUGUGUUUUUCGCAGGAUUGUCUGCGUCUGAGACUAUAAACCCUCUUUCUGCACUUGCAGAGCAGACCACUGUUGGCAUGUAUCACCUGACAGAUUCACUCAGGAGAGAGGACAGCAGUGUCACAUAUAAUCAGGAUUCACAAAAAGGAUAUCACACUUUAGAGAUAAACUGAUAGGCAUGUCCAUUCAUCUGCUGUCCACAGGUCUUCUUGCUCUGCUAUUGUGCCUUUCCACCAAGGGUUUCCCAAGACAAGUCAAUGGCAUUGAGUUCUACAGCGACCUAGAGAGGUCGCACCUCCUGCUGAAGGAAAGCAACUCUCAGACCAGUUUUGACUCCAAGGCCAAUGCUCAAGCUGAUAAUGGCCUGUUUGAAGAGGAUCCCGAAUUCAUGUCGGUUAUUCCAAAGGGCAAUUCUGGCACCAAACAUGGAUUGCCUGCACCUCCCAAGGAGGUAUCUGUCAAGAACAAGACUGAAGCUUUAAGAGGGCCUGCACUGAAACGAGCCAGACGGGAUAUUAUUGCAACCACCACAAAAGCUCCCACCACUACCACAACAGCACCCACAACAGCUACAGAAGCUACCACAACAGCUGCUGCAACCACAACAACAGAGCCAGCAACCACAACAACAGUGGCUGAAAAUACCACAACAGCUACAAAUACCAGCUCCCAGCAACAAAUACCAGCUCCCACCACUAACACAACAGCACACAUAACAGCUCCAGAAACUACCAAAACAGCUGCUACAACCACCACAGCAGCUCCAGCAACUACCACAACAGCUGCUGCAACCACCACAACAGCACCCACAACAGCUCCAGAAACUACCACAACAGCUGCUACAACAACCACAGCAGCUCCAGCAACUACCACAACAGCUGCUGCAACCACCACAACAGCACCCAUAACAGCUGCAGCAAUUAUCACAACAGCUCCCACCACUACCACAUUAGCGCCAACAACAGCUCCAGAAACUACCACAACAGCUGCUGCAACCACCACAAAAGCUCCAGCAACUACCACAACAGCUAAUGCAACCACCACAACAACUGCUGGAACCACAAUAACAGCUCCAGCAACCCCCAAAGCAGGUGCCACCACUACCACAACAGCACCCACAACAGCUCCAGAAACAACAGAUGCUGAAACCAUCAAAACAGCUCCAGCAACAACAACAACAGCUCCAGCAACCACCACAACAGCGGCUUCAACUACCACAAUAGCUAUUGCAAGUACCACAACAGCUGCAGCAACUACCACAACAACUCCCACCAAUACCACAACAGCACCCACAACAUCUCCAGAAACUACCAAAACAGCUGCUGCAACCACCACUACAGCUGCUGCAACUACAACAACGGAACCCACAACAGAACGCACAACAUCUGCCACCACUACCACAAAGGCCCCCACAAGAGCUGCUGCAACUUCCACAACAGGUUCCCAAACCACCACAACAGAUGCUGCUGCAACCACCACAACAGCACCCAUAACAGCUGCAGCAAUUACCUCAACAGCUACCACCACUACCACAACAGCACCCACAACAGCUCCAGAAACUACCACAACAGCUGCUGCAACCACCACAACAGCUCCAGCAACUACCAAAACAGUUGCUGCAACCACCACAACAGCUCCAGCAUCUACCACAACAGCUCCCACAACAGCUCCCACCAUUACCACAACAGCUACCACAACAUCUGCUGCAACCACCACAACAGCGGCUGCAACUACCACAACAGCUGCUGCAACCACCACAAUAGCUAUUGCAAGUACCACAACCGCUGCAGCAACUACCACAACUGCUCCUGCGAAUACAACAAUGGAAACCACAACAGAAUCCACAACAUCUGCCACCACUACCACAAAGGCCCCCACUACAGCUGGUGAAAGUUCCACAUCAGCACCCACAACAGGUUCCCAAACCACCACAACAGAUGCUGCUGCAACCACCACAACAGUUCCUGCAACUACAACAAUGGAAACCACAACAUCUGCCGCCACUACCACAAAGGCCCCAACAACAGCUGCUGCAACUUCCACAACAGCACCCACAACAGGUUCCCAAACAACCACAACAGAUGCUGCUGCAACCACCACAACAGCACCCAUAACAGCUGCAGCAAUUACCACAACAGCUCCCCCCACUACCACAACAGCUGCUACAACUACCACAACAGCUGCAGAACCUUCCACAACAGCACCCACAACAGCUCCAGAAACUACCACAACAGCUGCUGCAACUACCACAACAGCUGUUCCAACUACCACAACAGCUGCUGAAACCACAACAACAGCUCCAGCAACCACCACAACAGCUGCUGCAACUACCACAAUAGCUAUUGCAAGUACCACAAUAGCUAUUGCAAGUACCACAACAGCUGCAGCAACUACCACAACAGCUCCUGCAACUAAAACAACAGAAGCCACAACAGAACCCACAACAUCUGCCACCACUACCACAAAGGCCCCCAAUACAGCUGCUGCAACUUCCACAACAGCUCCCACAACAGGUUCCCAAACCACCACAACAGAUGCUGCUGCGACCACCACAACAGCACCCAUAACAGCUGCAGCAAUUACCACAACAGCUCCCACCACUACCACAACAGCACCUACAACAGCUCCAGAAACUACCACAACAGCUGCUGCAACCACCACAACAGCUGCUGCAACCCCCACAACAGCGGCUGAAACCACCACAACAGCUCCAGCAACCACCAAAACAGCUGCUGCAACUACCACAACAGCUCCAGCAACCACCACAAUAGCUAUUACAAGUACCACAACAGCUGCAGCAACUACCACAACAGCUCCCGCCUCUACCACAACAGCACCCACAACAGCUCCAGAAACAACCACAACAGCUGCUGCAACUACCACAACAGCUGCUCCAACUACCACAACAGCUGCCGAACCCAAAACAACAGCUCCAGCAACCACCACAACAACGGCUGCAACUACCACAACAGCUGCUGCAACCACCACAAUAGCUAUUGCAAGUACCACAACAGCUCCGGCAACUACAACAACAGAAGCCACAACAGAACCCACAACAUCUGCCACCACUACCACAAAGACCCCCACAACAGCUGCAGCAACUACCACAACAGCUCCCCUCACUACCACAUCAGCUCCUACAAUUACCACUACCACAAAGACCCCCACAACAGCUGCUGCAACUUCAACAACAGCUCCCACAAAAGGUUCUCAAACCACCAAAACAGAUGCUACUGCAACCACCACAACAGCACCCACAACAGCUGCAAAAACUACCAGAACAGUUACAGCAACAACCACCACAGCUCCUGCAACCACCACAUCAGCGGUUUCAACUACCACAACAGCUGCUGCAACCAAUACAAUAGCUAUUGCAACUACCAAAACAGCUGCAGCAAUUACCACAACAGCUCCCACCACUACCACAACAGCUCCUGCAACUACAACAACGGAAGCCACAACAGAACCCACAACAUCUGCAACCACUACCACAACAGCACCAACAACAGCUCCCACCACUACCACAACAGCACCCACAACAGCUGCUACAACCUCCACAACAGCUGCUGCAACCACCACAACAGAGGCUGCAACUACGACAACAGCUGCUGCAACUACCACAAUAGCUAUUUCAAGUACCACAACAGCUCCUGCAACUACAACAACAGAAGCCACAACAGAACCCACAACAUCUGCCGCCACUACCACAAAGGCCCCAACAACAGCUGCUGCAACUUCCACAACAGCACCCACAACAGCUCCCAACACUACCACAACAGCACCCACAACAGCUCAAGAAACUACCACAACAUCUGCUGAAACCACCACAACAGCGGCUGCAACUACCACAACAGCUGCUGAAACCACUACAAUUGCUAUUGCAAGUACCACAACAGUUGCGGCAACUACCACAACAGCUCCUGCAACUACAAAAACGGAACCCACAACAGAACGCACAACAUCUGCCACCACUACCACAAGAGCUGCUGCAACUUCCACAACAGGUUCCCAAACCACCACAACAGAUGCUGUUGCAACCACCACAACAGCACCCAUAACAACUGCAGCAAUUACCUCAACAGCUACCACCACUACCUCAACAGCACCCACAACAGCUCCAAAGACUACCACAACAGCUGCUGCAACCACCACAACAGCUCCAGCAUCUACCACAACAGCUCCCACAACAGCUCCCACCACUACCAAAACAGCACCCACAACAGCUCCCACCACUACCACAACAGCACCCACAACAGCUCCAGAAACUACCACAACCGCUGCUGCAACCACCACAACAGCUGCUGAAACCACUACAACAGCUCCAGCAACCACCACAACAGCUGCUGCAACUACCACAACAGCUCCAGCAACUACCACAACAGCGGCUGCAACUACCACAACACCUGCUGCAGCAACCACAAUAGCUAUUGCAACUGCCCCAACAGCUGCAGCAACUACCACAACAGCUGCCCUCACUACCACAUCAGCUCCUACAAUUACAACAACGGAAGCCACAACACAACCCACAACAUCUGCCACCAUUACCACAAAGGCCCCCACAAUAGAUGCUGCAACUUCAACAACAGCUCCCACAAAAGGUUCUCAAACCACCAAAACAGAUGCUACUGCAACCACCACAACAGCACCCACAACAGCUGCAAAAACUACCAGAAACAGUUACAGCAACAACCACCACAGCUCCUGCAACCAACCACAUCAGCGGUUUCAACUACCACAACAGCUGCUGCAACCAAUACAAUAGCUAUUGCAACUACCAAAACAGCUGCAGCAAUUACCACAACAGCUCCCACCACUACCACAACAGCCC